rnacentral:misc_RNA from 1 species
ACUUGAGUCCUCCAGAUAAGUUUCCUGAUCAGUCAGGUGUGGAACUGAUCGAGCAAACUUGGGGGGGAAAAACAGAACUUGUAAGAAACUUUUGUCAAUCAUUACUUUAAAGAAAGAAAGAACCCCCUUUCCAUGAAUCAACAUGCAGUCCUUCUUGCACCCACCACAUGCUUCGUUUUCGCAUUCCAUCUCCUCCCUAUACAGAGUAUGCUUCCCCUAACAACUUCUAAAUCCUGGAGAGG